rnacentral:rRNA from 1 species
AAUGCUGAUUAGUGGCGCACGGGUGAGUAACGCAUAGGUCAUGUGCCUCUUAGUUUGGGAUAGCCAUUGGAAACGAUGAUUAAUACCAGAUACUCCCUAUGGGGGAAAGAUUUAUCGCUAAGAGAUCAGCCUAUGUCCUAUCAGCUUGUUGGUAAGGUAAUGGCUUACCAAGGCUAUGACGGGUAUCCGGCCUGAGAGGGUGAACGGACACACUGGAACUGAGACACGGUCCAGACUCCUACGGGAGGCAGCAGUAGGGAAUAUUGCUCAAUGGGGGAAACCCUGAAGCAGCAACGCCGCGUGGAGGAUGAAGGUUUUUGGAUUGUAAACUCCUUUUGUUAGAGAAGAUAAUGACGGUAUCUAACGAAUAAGCACCGGCUAACUCCGUGCCAGCAGCCGCGGUAAUACGGAGGGUGCAAGCGUUACUCGGAAUCACUGGGCGUAAAGAGCGCGUAGGCGGGAUAGUCAGUCAGGUGUGAAAUCCUAUGGCUUAACCAUAGAACUGCAUUUGAAACUACUAUUCUAGGGUGUGGGAGAGGUAGGUGGAAUUCUUGGUGUAGGGGUAAAAUCCGUAGAGAUCAAGAGGAAUACUCAUUGCGAAGGCGACCUGCUGGAACAUUACUGACGCUGAUUGCGCGAAAGCGUGGGGAGCAAACAGGAUUAGAUACCCUGGUAGUCCACGCCCUAAACGAUGGACGCUAGUUGUUGGAGGGCUUAGUCUCUCCAGUAAUGCAGCUAACGCAUUAAGCAUCCCGCCUGGGGAGUACGGUCGCAAGAUUAAAACUCAAAGGAAUAGACGGGGACCCGCACAAGCGGUGGAGCAUGUGGUUUAAUUCGAAGAUACACGAAGAACCUUACCUAGGCUUGACAUUGAGAGAAUCCGCUAGAAAUAGUGGAGUGUCUAGCUUGCUAGACCUUGAAAACAGGUGCUGCACGGCUGUCGUCAGCUCGUGUCGUGAGAUGUUGGGUUAAGUCCCGCAACGAGCGCAACCCCCUUUCUUAGUUGCUAACAGGUCAUGCUGAGAACUCUAAGGAUACUGCCUCCGUAAGGAGGAGGAAGGUGGGGACGACGUCAAGUCAUCAUGGCCCUUACGCCUAGGGCUACACACGUGCUACAAUGGCGUAUACAAAGAGAAGCGACCUCGCGAGAGCAAGCGGACCUCAUAAAGUACGUCGUAGUCCGGAUUGGAGUCUGCAACUCGACUCCAUGAGGUCGGAAUCGCUAGUAAUCGUAGGUCAGAAUGCUACGGUGAAUACGUUCCCGGGCCUUGUACACACCGCCCGUCACACCAUGGGAGUCUGUUGCACCAGAAGCAGGUAGCUUAACCUUCGGGAGGGCGCUUGCCACGGUGUGGCCGAUGACUGGGGUGAAGUCGUAACAAGGUAACCGUG